AAUUCGAUUUCGGCACGAUUAAAACUGUGAUUAACUGUAAUGAGAGUUUCCGUGUUUUUUGCUUACAUUUUUUCAUUCUGUGGUUUAUUAGUUUCGGUUGUUGAUAUUUUCUAUAACAGAGGUAAAAUGGUGAAUAUAUGUUCUAUAAAAAGCUGUAGAAACAUUGGCAAGGAUGGUAUUCAUAUGCAUAAAUUUCCGAGUAAUGAACAAACAGCCAUGAAAUGGACUAACAUAAUUAAAAAAAUACAACCAUCGUACAUGCCUUUAAAAUCAUCAAUGAUUUGUAGUGCUCAUUUUAAAACUUCUGAUUACAACUUGAACUAUAAAAAA